rnacentral:rRNA from 1 species
AUGGCUGAUGUCAAGGCACACAUAGCUCUGGCUGCCGCGGAUAGGCAGUACUCAACGGAUGAUAUCCUCCUGACUCUGACUGAACCCUGUUUCGUGCAAACAUGCUCUGUAUUUUUUUUCAGUACAAGAUUAAGCUUGACAGUGAAAUCUUGGAUAGUAAGUAACACCCUUUCUGCAUAUUUAGAAUCUGUAUGCAAACUCACACCAGGUGCCAGAUGCAUCAUAGUUAAUAAAAAAACUUCUGCUGUAAUGGAGGUACUGCUCUUUAGUAGUUUGCUUAAUUUGAUUUUAUCACCUCAAGUGUUUUACACAAAAUUUGAACUAUGUGCAUCUACUAGUGAGUCCUUGGGCCUCGCUCUAUUUCAGUUUUCAAGAUGGAAGAAUGUCUUAAAGUUUCAACUACUAUUUACUAAUUGUAGGUUCCUUUGA